rnacentral:rRNA from 1 species
GACGAACGCUGGCGGCGUGCUUAACACAUGCAAGUCGAACGGAAAGGCCCUGCUUUUGUGGGGUGCUCGAGUGGCGAACGGGUGAGUAACACGUGAGUAACCUGCCCUUGACUUUGGGAUAACUUCAGGAAACUGGGGCUAAUACCGGAUAGGAGCUCCUGCUGCAUGGUGGGGGUUGGAAAGUUUCGGCGGUUGGGGAUGGACUCGCGGCUUAGCAGCUUGUUGGUGGGGUAGUGGCUUACCAAGGCUUUGACGGGUAGCCGGCCUGGGAGGGUGACCGGCCCCAUUGGGACUGGGAUACGGCCCAGACUCCUACGGGGGGCAGCAGUGGAGAAUAUUGCACAAUGGGCGGAAGCCUGAUGCAGCAACGCCGCGUGCGGGAUGACGGCCUUCGGGUUGUAAACCGCUUUCGCCUGUGACGAAGCGUGAGUGACGGUAAUGGGUAAAGAAGCACCGGCUAACUACGU